rnacentral:sRNA from 1 species
GAAAAAGGAUCAAAGACUAAGAACGCCGCGUCCUGCGGCGACGUUUUUGUGACCUGCUUCGUGCAGG